rnacentral:rRNA from 1 species
GACGAACGCUGGCGGCGUGCUUAACACAUGCAAGUCGAACGGAAAGGCCCUGCUUUUGUGGGGUGCUCGAGUGGCGAACGGGUGAGUAACACGUGAGCAACCUGCCCUUGACUUUGGGAUAACUUCAGGAAACUGGGGCUAAUACCGGAUAGGAGCUCCUGCUGCAUGGUGGGGGUUGGAAAGUUUCGGCGGUUGGGGAUGGACUCGCGGCUUAUCAGCUUGUUGGUGGGGUAGUGGCUUACCAAGGCUUUGACGGGUAGCCGGCCUGAGAGGGUGACCGGCCACAUUGGGACUGAGAUACGGCCCAGACUCCUACGGGAGGCAGCAGUGGGGAAUAUUGCACAAUGGGCGGAAGCCUGAUGCAGCAACGCCGCGUGCGGGAUGACGGCCUUCGGGUUGUAAACCGCUUUCGCCUGUGACGAAGCGUGAGUGACGGUAAUGGGUAAAGAAGCACCGGCUAACUACGU